GCCCCCUGCUCCCUGGCCAAGCGUUCUAGAAACUUCUGCCUCCUUUGUUGUGCCUGGGGAGAAUCCUUUCACACACACUACCUCCCUGCCUGCCCCCCAAGCCACUGGCUCCCACCUGAUCAUCACCCCACAUUUGGGGGCCCCCGUCUGAUCCACACUUUCCAGGUGGGUGUUUCUCCGAGUUGCCUGAACAGACUGCAGAGGGAAGGCAUCUGACGUUCCACAGCUCCAGGCACCUCCAGUUUGUAGAAAGUUGAGUCCUACGAAGCCUGGGCGUGGGCCCUCAGUUCAGCCACCAGUGUCCCUCUAAGAAGAGGGGAACUGGGCGCAGACAUGAGGGAGAAGGCCGUGUGAAGGCGGAGGCGGGGACCGGGUGACACAUCUCCAAGCCAACGAGCGCCAAGGAUUGCCAGCAAAUACCAGAAGCUGGGAGAGGCCUGGAUUCGCCCUCAGAGCCACCAGAACCAACCCUGCAGGUGGCCGCCUGGAUUUCUGGCCUCCGGAACUGAGCGAGCGUACAUUUCUGUGACUUUUAAUCCCCCAGCUUGUGGUGCUAGGCCUCGAACGCCUUUUUGGUGGGGGGGGGGGGGGGGGGGGGGGGAAGGAUGGCUCUAUAGAAAUGAAAUCAAAUCCCAGCUUUUAGGGGAAAUGAUUUAGACUGCGCAGCUGGCCGCUGGGGUUGAUAGUUUUGACUCUCACCCCGCGGUUGUAAACAGCGAUCAGCGGGCUUUUUGCUACUGAUUAUGCAACAGUCCCAGUCGGGAGGAGGGGGAAGGCUAAGAUCCCGUCAACGCAGCCUCCAGCCCCUCGCGCUUCGGCUGCUCCAGGAGCCCCGAUGAUGGAAAACUCUGUUGUUGUUGUUGUUUUCUUUUCAAUCGCAGUGGCCUGGAUUGCUCACCGUCUCUUAGACAGUGUGUCAAGUGGAGACCAACAUGUUGCCUCACAAAGUCCUUAGGAGCCCUGCGCAGAGCCUCGUGAGUCACUCCAGGGUUUUUGGAGAUGAAUGGCCGGUGAGCCGGCUUCUCAGGAAGAUUAGCCACAAGUCGUGGCUGCGCUUGCCGGGCCGGCCGGUGCAGAACUGACUCACGUGGACCAGGAAGCAGGCAGACAGCCUGACAACAGCUCGGAAGGCCCCGGGCCCGCUGUCUUCCCAUGUGCGGGGCGGGGGGCGGGGGAGGGGGGUGCGUCUCCCCAUUUGGUCAUUUCUGUUUGUUGUUGAAUAAGGUGGACACUAUUUCAAUGGGGACAUUUUAUACAUAGGUAUAUAUCAGUGCAUAUGCUCAUCUCUCUGUCCCUUUCCCCCUCUCUAUACACACACACACACACACACACACACACACACACAGUAUGUAGCUAUACGUUGCAUACACUAUAGAUACAGUAUAAUGAGUGGGAAGAAACUGAUGGUUUUCAGAUUUUUAAAGCCGGAGAGACUUCUUUAUGGUGAAAUAUUGGCAUACGGAGAAUAAUGUGCAAAGAACCAAAAAAGCAGGGCUCCGUGAAGGAUCCCAAAGUAAGGUAAAGCCUCCGUGACCCUCCCACAGCAGCUCCUGCGGGAAUCCUUCCCCAGGGCCUUGAGAAAAAGAAACACUUCCUAUUGAGGGAGGUGUGCUUAGGUGGUAAUUAUGGCCAGGAAGUCGUUACAGCCACAGAUGGGUGGUGGAAAGCAGGAAAGUUGGGGGGGGGUACUCAGGGGGGGAGGGGCUCAGGCAGCCAGGACCUUGCCAGCCCCCAGAAUUGCCCCUGUGCCCCCCGCCCCAGAUGUCUCCAUGGCGUUCUGGCCAGCAGUGCUGUGUCCCCGUUCAUGGCUACAGAGUAUUGCCAUGUAUGAAAGCACCACAACGUAUCUGUUCCGUGAAUGCCCUUCUGGGUUGUUUGAAGUUUGGCUCUGUUACAAAUAGAUGGCCGUGAACGUCAAUGCCUUCUCUCCACCCCAGCGAGGGUGCACUGUCUACCCAAUUUCCAGCCCUGCCUACCAGACCUUUUCCUCCCCAGAAGGCAUAUGCCUGAUGCAAUUCAUAGGGAUCAGCCUAUGAUCUCAGGGUCCAUAAAGGGCCCGGUCUUUGCUUGGGCAGUUUCUUAUCUGGAUGACCAACCCCAACUUCCCCUCCUUUUCUCCUCCAGAUCUUGCGAAUCCUCUUACCCUGCCAUACCCCACAUCCUCCAGGAAGCCUUCCAAGGUUGCCCCAACCCUGUGCCUCCUCUGUCCUGUGCUCUCAGUGCCCUGAGAUCCGUAUCUUGACUCCCAGUCCCCACUCUGUGUGUGGUAGAACGGGUAUGUGAAUGCCUCAAGCUUUCUGGACGGCACUUUGUUCCCUUUCUCUCAAAGAUAAAUAUGCUCACACUCCCUGGGUGGGCACUCCCGUUCCUGGAAACUGUCCUCCAGAAAUGCUACCCAGAGUGCUUCAAGAUGAAUGGACCAGAAUGUUCGUUCCAGUGCUGACCAGAAGCACACAGCACUGCAAGUCGUCUAAACGUCUAUGGACAGUGAGUAAUUUGGGCUUUGGAAGUCACGGCUACUCAGAUUUGCUAUCGUCCUGCAAAAGCAGCCAGGGGCAAUACGUGAGUGAGUGAGCAAGCCAGCCGCUGUGUUCCAAUAAAACUUUAUUCACAAAAGCGGGCAGCAGGCCGGAGCUGGAGCCUGCGGCCCCCAGCGCGGAAACAGAAAAGGGUCCUCACGGUGGGAGGAGGAGGAGGAGGUUGAGGGGCUGCCCACUCACCCCGGACAGGCGGAAAACCCAGGUUCUUUGCCGUCCCAUGCGGCCCUCCCCAGAAUCGGAAUGGAUUCCAAAGACUGAUUUCGUGUCAGUUCAGUUUCGCGCGGCCUGACCCCGAAGAGCAGAGGGUCACUGGUAGCUGGAGACACGGGGAGAGCCGGGGCUGGCCAUCCAGCUGGAAGAGCUUCUCCGACGACGGCCUGCCUGCUUCCUCAGCUCCGGGGCUCCUGCACACGCAGCCCCACGGCCCCCACGCACCCCUGCCUCUGCACCUACUGUCUUUCUCCGAGAAGCUCGCAAGCGCGGUUGCCAAGGUCAGCUCAAAGACCUAGCGCUCUCACUUCCCAAGAAAGAUGACAAAGGGAAAUCACGCGACGUUCUUUCGGCAAGUUGUGAGGUUGUGGUGGGCAGAGAGGAGAACGGUGGCCGUGCUCACCCCGAGCCAUGAGGCCCUGCCCUGGAGUGGGACGGCGAAUGGACAGACACGGCCAUGCAGGGAAUUUGUCCCCUCUGGCCAGAAGGGCCCGAUGCGCUGGAGGUGCAGCCGCUGACCCCGCGUCGUGCCUUCGGCAGCCCUGUGAGUUAGGAUAAGAGUCCCAUUUUGCGGAUGGAGGCACAUGAGGCUCCAAGCAACUUUUCGAGAAACGAUACCUUUAAAACGGCCGAAGGCUGAGGGGCGCCUGGGUGGCUCAGUCGGUUAAGCGUCCAACUUGGGCUCUGGUUACAGUCUCACGGUUCGUGAGAGCCUGCAUCGGGCUCUGGGCUGACAGUGGGGAGCUUGCUUGGGAUUCUCUCUCUCCCUCUCUCUCCUUCUCUCUCUCUGCCCUUCCCCUGCAUGCUCUCUCUCCCUAAAUAAAUAAAUAAGCUUUAAAAUAAAAUACAACAACGGAAUACAACGAAACUGCUGAAGGCUGGAGCUGACCCAAUCCACGGCCCCCACGUUUCACCACCUUGAGCCCCAAGCCCUGCGAGACCCUGUCGGGCAUCACGUUACAUCAACCUCAGGAAGGUGCGUUUGCAGUUUCGUCAGACUCAGGCAGUGACACUGGUCGAUGUUUCCAGGUUAUAUUCUGGGGCGGGGGCUUUGGCAAAGCUCCCAGGUGACAGGAGCCAAGUCUGCCCGUCCCCGUCGCCUUCUUCUUCCUCUCCUGGUGCCUUUGCCCAUGUCCACGUGUGUGUUACACCAGCCGUGACUUAGGAUGUACGUGUGUGGGUCACCACCCCAUGGGCGGGCCUGAUUCAGCGCCACCGAGAGACAGCACUGAAGCUGCCCACGCCCGCCGGGCCAUGAGGAAGACCAGAGAGGGCCUCUCCCCGGUCCCGACUCACAUCCGACGUGCAGGGAAGGGCCGCUCCGGAGAGGGGCUGAUGGUGGAAGGCUGACCAUCACCUGUGCCCACCCAGCCCGCCAUUGCUGUCUCUCGAAUGGCCACCCUCUGAGAGCACUGGACCCGGUGCCGCAAUGCCCGUCCCAACCAGGCAGCGUGGACGGCAGCCCCCGACACGGAGCGAUCACUGCACCUGCGCUCGGCUCUCGUCCGCUGCGCAGAAUGAACGUGUCUAGCACCUGCUUCUCUCGUCUCCACUCUGCCAUCUGGGCGCUGGGUCGAACAGCAUCCGCCCAGAACUCCUGUCCAUCCAGAACCCAGGGACGUGUCCUUGAUUGGAAAGUAGGGUGCUUGCAGAGGCCUUCCAGAAGCAACCGGUCCUGCCAGCAUACUGAUGUCAGCCCAGUGAACCCCCUGAUGGACUUCUGACCUCCCGAACUGUGAAGUAAUAACUUUGUGUCGUUUUAAGCCACUAAGCUUGUGGUCAUUUGUUACAGCAGCAACAGGCAACAAAUACAUGCAGGAAGGAAACACUGAGACAUUGUUGGGGGAAAGAAAGAAAAGAAGGGAGGGAAGAGAGGAGGAGAGAGAGACAGAGGAGGCGGGAGGGGGAGGAAGGGGCAGAGGGAGGGGAGGGAGAGACACAGCAGGUGGAGUUCUGGCAGAGACAGGAUGGGAGGCAGGGCACCCCCAGACCGAUUCUGGAUCGUUUAUUGAAUUUCUCUCCCUGACCGGAGCUGGUAACUUAACCUCUCUGUGCCUGGGCUCUUCAGUAAAACGGAGUCAAUAAUUUAUUUACCACCUGACUCUGUCGCACAGGCUAAAUUAGUCACACACGAAAGUACUUAGAGCCGGGCCUGGCAUAGAAAAGCACUCCAUAAAUGUUAGCGGGCACCACAAUAGCUCGCUCUCUGCCCUGCGCAAAGACCGGGAGAGGAGCGUCCGUUUUUUGUUUGCUUCCGUUUCCCUAAAGAAACACGUGAAGGGUAUCUUGGAAACCCCUCCAUGGUUAUCUGAGGAAGGAGGGCCGAUGGAGGGGAGCCGAAGGGACUUUUCAGUGUGUGUAAAACACGCGGUGAAGAUACGCAUGUGUAUUUUCUAAUAUAUGGGUGUGUUUGAAUAUAUAUUUAAGCCAUGUGAAUGUGUUACCUCUGCAAACACACACACACACACACACACACACACACACACACAGAUAAACGUGUGUACCUUUGAUGCCUGCUAGAAUUUCUCCUGGGGAAGGAGGCCGGCCCCUGGGGGAUCUUGCAGGCAUUCUGUGGGUGACGAGCCCCUCCUGGCUCCGGUCCGUCCUGCCCUGGGUCCCAGGGGAGCGUGAGCUCAAGCAGCCGUCGGGUGUAGGAAUUAGCUCCCCGCAGACACCUGGAACCUGCCCUCUAAGGGGUUUCUGCUCUCACUUUAUAACUGUAGCAGAAGUGUCCUGAUUCGUAUACUGUGGCCCAAAAUCCUUUGAGGCAGAUGACAGACCUUCUACUUUAAAUAAUAAAUAAAUGUGCCAUUGCUAACAACAGGUUUUAUUUCUUGAGCUGCUAUUAACUGCCAGACGGUGUGAGCCUUUACGCUUACCCUCUGCAGUUGUGCUGACAACCCGGACUUUGAGAUUCUUGUGCCCAUUUGGCAGAGGGGGAAACUGAGGCCCGGCUAAGCUCAGUCGCGGCCCUGAGUUGCACAGCUAGUUAGCAGAGAGCUGGGAUUCGAGGCACGGUCGGGGCCUGGCUGGAGGGGGCGCCUGCCUCCCGACACCCGCCACCUGGACCCCCGCCGAGGCUCCGCCCUGCCCCUCCCCGCCCCACCCUGCUCUGAGAGAAGGCGACUGCACUUCUGCACUCUUCCUUCCUCACCCACAGACAGCUGCUUGUGAAGAUCGCCAGAAUGUCCUUGCUCAUAAGCCGCAUGUCAUUUCCUGGUCCUGCGCUAACACUUGGAGAGAAAGAGCUUUGUCAGGUGUCUCAGCUUCCUCCUGCCUCUGUAACAAAGAACCACACGCUCAGCGGCCUAUAACACACGCAUCUCUCAUCGCACGCUUCUGGAGGCCGGGAGUCUGCCGCGGGCCUCCCUGGGCUAAGGCCAAGGCCCGGUUCCUCCCGGAGGCUCUGAGGGAGCAUCUGCUUCCUUGCCUUUUCCAGCUUCUAGGGGCCGCCCGCACCCCUCGGCUCAUAGCCUCUUUCUCCUCCUUCACAGCCAGCUGUGUCGGGUCAGGACCUCGCACUGUGAAGGCCCCUUGUGACUUGGGGCCCCGCUGGGACAAAACAGGAUCAUCUCCCUGUGUUAGGGUCGGUCGCUUAGCGAUCUCACAUCUGCCUACAACUUGAACUCUCCUCUGCUGUGUGAUGCAGCCUCUUUACAGGUUACGGGGACUGGCGCGUGGGCUCUUUGGGGUCAUUGCUCCCUUGGGGACUGGAAGAAACCCCUCCGGGUCUCUGUUGUCCCCUGCCGGGACGGCUUCUCCAUUCCCUGUGUUCCCUGCCUCGCCCUGUCUCCUCUGCCCCGGCAGAGGCUCACACGGGUGCCCUCCCGCCUGCCCGGCCCCGGGCAGCUCCCUGAUGCUUAUCCUUCCCGGCUCCUGCCGAAGCCCCUGGUGCCGUUCCCUGCUCGUUGUCUCUCUUGCUGGACCACGUGCUCCAGGGGCGACGGCCACGUCCAGCACAGGCAGUGACCCAUCCAGCCCUGAGCAGGGCCCCCUGGUCUGCGAAGCCCAGGCCAGACCUCACGUUCACACAGCACAUCCGAAGUGUCACCUACUAGCUUGUGUCCAGCCCAUCGGGCCGGCUCAGCUACGUCCGACCACAGAGGCCGGGUACCUUUUCACGACUCCUCCCCCUCCUGCACCUGCUGGCCUGCUUCUGCUUCAACUGGGACUCCGUCUUCCUGGGAUCCACUUCAUCUCCUGCCUUUUCCCCCCUUACGCUGUUUACUCGUGAGAUCAGAGCUAGGAGCGACAAAGUCUUAAACACACUAAUACACUUUGUUUCAAACGAGCUGAAGGAAUAGUUUUGUUCUAGAGGAUCCCAUCCCUGUUACUUGUCUCUUUGAGGAUCUUAUAUAUAACCCCACAGUUCGAUCAUUCCCCUUAAUUCUUUUUUUUUCCCCCAUUGCCUUACACUUUCUCACAAGGCAAAAUUUAUUACGACCAUCCUCCCCAAGAUAAGUCUGUCCAUCCCUCAGGAAGAAAAGGAAAUUUAAUAGCCAUAGCAAAGGACAAGAGUCCUGCUCCGGCCAGAGCUGUGGAGCCCUCUCCCAUGUACGGGUGGGUGCCUUGUUCCUUUCCCUUUCCCACAGAAACAUCUUUCGAGUUGUGGGUUUCUAUAAACGUUUACUUCUAUUUUCUAGUGUGGCACUAUUCAGACUGCAAUACAGGCUUUGGAACAUUUUCCAGAAUGCCCAAGGGUAGUCUUUUCAAGGCACGUUUAAGGAAACGUAUGAUGCGGGGGCGCCUGGGGGGCUCAGUCGGUUGAAUGUCUGUUCUUGGUCUCGGCUCAGGUCAUGAUCACAUGGUUCGUGGGUUGGAGCCCUGCAUCGGGCUCUGCGCUGACAGUGCGGAGCCUGCUUGAGAUUCUCUCUCUCCCUCUCUCUCCCCCAGUGGCACUGUCUCUGUCUCUCUCAAAUAAACUUGAAAAAAAAAGAAAAAGAAAAUGUAUAAUGCCACAUUCUAUUCAGAUCUUUUAUUCAAGUAGUACAUCCCCUUUUUCUAAACUUUUAGUUCUCUGUGUUUAUAAAAAUGUAUUCUGUACAUAUCAAGUAGUCUAUUUAACAUAUGUUCAUAGGGGCGCCUGGGUGGCUCAGUCGCUUGAGCGUCCGACUUCGGCUCAGGUCACGAUCUCGCGGUCCGCGGGUUCGAGCCCCGCGUCGGGCUCUGUGCUGACGGCUCGGAGCCCGGAGCCUGCUUGGGAUUCUGUGCCUCCCUCUUUCUCUGCCCCUCCCCCGCUCAUGCUCUGUGUCUCAAAAAUAAAUAAACAUCAAGUAAUAAAAAAAUGAAAAAGAAACAUGUGCAUCAGCUAUUUAAGUAGAACCUAGAAUAUCGUAUCCACAAACGCAUGUGGAAGCAAUGAGCGCUUCGAUGCCCGUGGCAGACCCUGGUGAUAGGCUAACCGGCUGUCCACGUUCCUCCAUACGUGAUCAGGGCAAAGCAGAUUAAAACCGUCACCCAGAGGCCACUGCGUACCUACCAGCAUGGCCCAAAUCCAGAACACGGGCAACACCAAACGCCGGCAAGGAUAGGGAGCCGCAGGAGCGCUCACUCGCUGCUGGGGGAACGCAGAACGGCGGAGUCACCUUGGAGGCCGCCUUGGUGGCUUCUCACAGAACUAAGCACACUCCUACCAUACGAUGCAGCAGCCGAAGGGGCUGAACACUUAGGUCCCCGUGACAACCCGCCCGCGGUGUUUAUAGCGGAUUUACGCAUAGUCGCCGAAACUCGGAAGUGAGUAAGCUACCCUUCCAGUGGGCCAACGGAUAAACCAGCUGGGGUCCAUGCAGUUAAUGGGGUAGCAUUCAGUGCCGAAAGGAAACGAGCUCUGAAGUCGUGAAAAGGCAAGGAGGCACCUACACGCAUCUCACUAAGGGAAAGAAGCCAAUCUGAAAGGACGGCCUACUGUAUGGUUCCGCCCAAAGGGCAUUAUGGGAAAGGCCAAACUGUGGAGACAGUCCAGAGAUCAGGGGCUGCC